GUUACGGGCAGCCAGGCCUGGCCGGAGAUGCCGAAGUCGUGCGCGGCCUGGCAGUGCUGCAACCGCUACAGCAGCCGCAGGAAGCAGCUCACCUUCCACCGCAGGUGAGGGAGAACACACACACUGCCAGUGAGAGAGGAAAUGCCAGCUCUUCUCAGAAAGAAAAGGUCCUCCCUGAGGCGGGGGCCGGAGAGGACAGCCCUGGGAGAAACAUGGACACUGCGCUUGAAGAGCUUCAGUUGCCCCCAAAUGCCAAAGGCCCCGUAAAACAGAUCUCGCCACGGAGUCCGCAAGCAGCAGAGACUGUUGGCCGGCCGGCCGGCCCUGCAGGCUUGAGAAGGCCCCCCGACAAGCAGCCAUCUGAUCACAGCUAUGCCCUUUUGGACUUAGAUUCCCUGAAGAAAAAAACUCUUCCUCACUCUGAAGGAAAAUGAAACGCUCCAGAAGCGCUUGCAGGCCCAGAGGCUGGUGAAGCGAAGGAUGUCCAGCUGCCUCCGUGCCUGCAAAGGGCACCGGGGACUCCAGGCCAGACUUGGGCCAGAGCAGCAGAGCUGAGCCCCACAGGCUCCGGACGCAGAGGCGGCAGUGGCACCAGGGCCGGCAGGGCUUUGGAGCUCUGGCUGUGGACAUUUUUGUCUGCUGUGGACAUUGAGAAAGUUGGCCGUGAGGCCUGCCGGGCGGGGGAUUGAAACAGUAACCAAGCUCCCUGGCGAGAGCCCCGACGCCGUCUGAAGGACGUUUAGAGGCAUGGUACUAGGACUGAGCAUGACAAGCUUAUCCUCCCAUAGUAACAGAAGUCCAGGCUGAGGCUGAUUCUGAACUCUGUCCUUUCAGCACGCGCAGAGCGAAGGUCGUUGGAAGCCCCAGUAUGGGAGAUGCUCCUCAGGGAGGAAGCCAUGUGAGGGGGCCGGCUCUGUGGCAGAUUUGUUGGAAUCCUGACCAAACUGGAAAAGUGGCAGUAACCAUGGAAAAGUCAAAGACAAAAUGACAGCCAAAUCACACCAGUAAAUAAGUGGAGUGAAGACACGUCUGUUUUCACAGCUGAACACUGGAAAUUGCAAAUUUGAUUGCCACUGGCAUUGGAUGCUGGAACUGCUUCUGUUUUUACUGACACUAGCAUACCGGGAUACUUCGAAGUUGCUGUAGUCUCUGCAAUAUUGAGUGUUGGAAGGUGCUAGAAAAUGAGUGUCUGUCUUUUUUGUCUUUUAUACUGGAAGGCAAUCACCUAGACCUAUGCUGGAGAGUCAUCCUACAAGGUCAUUCAAAUGUACAAUAAACUGGUAUGUGUAUUAGUUACUUAUUACAGUACAAUAAGUUAAUCACAAAUAUGAAUGACUAAAACAAAAAAUGUUUAGUAUCUUGCAGUUUCUCUGGUCAGGAAUGUAUUGGCAGCUUAACUGAGUGGUUCUAGCUCAAGGUCUUUCAUGAAGGACCUGGUAGGGGCUGCAGGCAUCUGCUGUCUUGACAGGAGCUGGGGAAUUUGCUUACACGGUGACCCACUCACAUGGCCAUUGGAAGGAGGCACCAAUUUCCUGCCACAUGGGCCUCUUCGUAGGACUACAUUUGUGUUAUCAUGAUGUAGCAGCUGGCUUCUCCAGCGUGAGUAACGUAAGGGGGAGGAAGACAGGCAGAAGCCACGAUUUUUGUUAUAACUUAGCCUCAUAAACUACAUGUCAUCACUUCUGUCAUAUUUAUUGAUCACAUAAAGCAACAAUGAUAUAAAGAAGAAGAGUAGAGUUUAUUUCAUCACUUACAUUUCAAUUUUGGCUACUUAAUUUUAAUCAUAGAGUCUACAAUAGGGGUUUAUUUUAUUAAUCCAAGUAGUACCAAAUAUUACUCUGAGUUUGUUUAAUUAAUAUCCCUAUGAAUUCCUGGGGUUUCAGUCCACUUUGGGAAGAGGCUAGUUUGUUUUCAUAUCUUAAAAGUGAGUAAUAUCAGCAUUGUUGGUAAUUCUAUACCUUCAUAUUCCCAAAGUAGUAUCAAGCAAAUACAUGGUAAGAGUGAGCAUGAGAAGUUGAUGCUGUUCAGUUAUCUGGAUAGCAGGCUAAGCAUUAUUGAUAGAAAAAUCUGCAGCUAUACUCAGAAAACUCAGAACUUCAUGGCAACUUUUUUUUAAAUUAAAAUACAGUUCUUAAGGUUUCAAAGUUUUAUUUCUGUUUUUGUCAAAUAAAACUGUUCUUUCAGAGACCAAUAGUUAGAGGAAGAAACAAAUUAUAUGGACCUCUGGUACAAUUUCCCAAUCUGUGAGCUACCAGACCUGAGUGUUUUGGUAAGA
ensembl:lncRNA THAP3P1 THAP3 pseudogene 1